GCAAGACAUUUCUAUGUGUCCACUGUAUUUUUAUUUUGUCAUAUCAUUUCUUACUAUCACUGCCUGAGACUUAAUAGCUUUUUGGGAAUGGGAGAUGCAUUUAUUUUAUUGCAUUAGGAAUAAACAUCUGAGUCAGUGAGUGUAUUUGAAAAUAAUAAGCCUUAAAAAAUACUGUAAAUUAGAUGUGGCUUGUUCAUGUAAAUUGUGAGGCAGAUAUGCAAUUUAUUUAUCAGACUUAUAUUACUAGAUUCAUUUGAUUUUAUUGUAUGGCAGUACAUUUAUCACAAAAAUAUUUUGAUUGAUUCAAAAUUUAUAAUGGGAGAUAACUCAGUUAAUUAUAAGACUUAUUGAAAACUUUGUGGAAAAACAAGUUUUCAUUCUUCUUACAAAAGUGCAUUUAUUUGUGUACAAUAAUUACAAAGAUAUGAUUAUUUUGGACAGCUUAUACUAUCUGAAAACAAGCAUGAAUGCUAUGGUGACCAAAACUUUUUAUUUUAUUGGUUUAAAAUAAUAAUAAAAAUAAAAAUCAUAUAACUUUUAUUUUGGUAAAGCCGCACAAAUUGUAAUCCAUUACAACUUAAUUAAUUUUAAUAAAUUCAUAAGAUAAAAUAUUGAUUUUGAAAUACAACAUGUACUUUGAAUGCAAUACAGAUUUUUUCCUCCAGAAUUUGAUUCUCAAAGAAACUGCCAUCCACAGAUAUAAAAUAAUAGUACCUUGUUAUCUUACUCACUUUAUAUACAGGGUGCACACUUUAUAUUUGUAUCAUCAAUACAAAAGAAAAUUCAGACAUGUUCUAGACAAGGUGCACUCUUUACCGUAAUAGAGUUCUUAACAGACACACCUUUUCAAAGCUAUAAACCCCUGACGUUCUACCUUAUAAAUACCAACUACUAUGAAUUAUGAAACUGUACAAAUUUUGGAAAAUUUAAUUAACCUCUAACAAAAAACAAUUAUCUCUCUCUAGUGAUAAGCUUUGGGUGUUCUUAAACAAUUAAUUGGUUUAUAGUGUGCUGUUUUUCACUUUCCCUAGUGCUUUUCCAUAAUCGUAUUGUUGUUUAAAACAUUUUGUGUCAAUUUUGUUUAUGUCUGAUUUUUUAUGCAAGUUACUAAGUAUAAAAAUAGUUUGAUUCCUCUACUUUUAUUGUAACUGGAAAAAGAAUGGCACAUGUAUGAUAAUUAGGAUCAGGUGCGGAUCCAGCCAUUUAAAAAAGGGGGGGUUCCCAACCCAGAGUAAAGGGGGGUUCCAAACUAUAUGCUCCCAUUCAAUACAUUGAUCGGCCAAAAAAAAUGGGGGGAGUUCAAACGGAACCCCCCCCCCCCUGGAUCCGCCACUGAGGAAAGAGAUUCCUUUUACAUUCAUGCCAUUGAUUAAAUGUAUAAUCCUUAUAAUUUUUUUCAAUUUUGCACAGCUAGUUCUAGCUUGAAACAAGCAUGGUGACCUAUACUUUAAAUGUGUUUCAAAAUGAAAUGUUUUGAGUGACGUUUGUAUUUGUUGUUGUUUGUCAUACUGUUAGUGUAACUGCUUUAUGUGUACAAAUUGUUCACUUUUAAGUAUAAUGUGUACUAGGUAAAUAUAUUUCUGUGGAUUCAACAAUGUAUUAAGGAAACUAUUUUUUGAGACUUUAAGUAUAGGUGACCUAUGGUG
rnacentral:lncRNA from 1 species